rnacentral:lncRNA from 1 species
CUUUCAUGUGAAAAUAAAACACUAACCACAAAUACUCUACUAUUGCCUUGUAUUAGGACUAUUUUAAAAUUUUAGAAAAAAGGGGGGAUCUUCUGUAUGUAAAUUCAAAAGUCAAUAGACAGUUUUCCACUGACUGAUAACAAUCUAUUUAUUUUUAUCAGUAUUUUGCAAUCCAUAGAAGAGUCAUAGUCCACAGCUGGUCAUUUCUGGUCAGUCCUACAAUAUUGUGGUCAUUAGACAAUAUCCUGCUGUGAAGACAAACAAGUGUGUUUGAAUAAAUGAUGUAUCAAUUUUCU